rnacentral:lncRNA from 1 species
GUCUUCUCCGAGUCCUAAUUUCAUCCUGAAGGCAGCUCCGGCUUCUGUCCGAAGAUUUCCCAUGGUUAUAUAGCGUGGCCGACUUUCUUCGAGCAGCACACAAGUGGGUGUUUGGUGAGCGGCGACUCCGGUCGUCCGGGAAUCCAGACUUUCCGGAAGACAAGCCCUGCCCCCAGCCCUCCGUAGCCGCUUAGCCCGCCUCUCUAGGAUUUAGGCGCGCUCCUCUCUCCCUCUCACUUUCGCCCCUCCCUCUGCCCUCAGCGUUUGCGCAGGCGCCUUUGGCGGGCGGUAGCUGCAGAGUUGGCGGGUUGGCGCUUGCGCGAUUCUCUCAGGCGCAGGGGCGGGCCGCGGUGGCGCGCGCACCGUCGGUCUCGCACCUGCCCUGGCUGAAGACCUGGGGCUGCGUGUCCUCGUGGCCUUCCCGCGGUGGGACAGUCGCUUCUUUCUUGUAAGCGUAUUUAUUUGUCUUUUCAACCAGAGUGCUCCAGCCACCGCUACUUUGUACGGACGUUAAGUUUAUUAGACUUGUAUCUACGCUUUCCUGGGUUUUGUUUAUUUACCUCAGGGGCCAAGCGCGAGAGACAGCAGUCCUCCUCCAAAAAUAGAUGUUUAUAAAACGUCUUGCCGUGAGAGCUUCAGUCCCCACACUCUAGGGCUGGAAGCCUCGGGCCAAGGGAAUGAUUUUCUAGUGAUGUCAGGAAUGGGUUGAAGUAUUUAUUAAGCUUUCGUUGACAACUGGCACCACAGUAUUAGCCCUGCUGAACUUUUCAGCCCGAGUGUGCAUUUAACGUGACAGUGCGUGCCUUGCCGUCAGCCUUUUGGCCACAGCGCGGUGAAGCUACAGGGUGUAAGCUCCAAAAAGUCCAAUUCCUUGCCUUCUGGUUCUUCUGGGUUCUCCCUCUUGCUUUUCUGCAGCUUUAGAGAGAGUUAAUACUCGAUUUACGGUAAUCGCUCAGUUAUAUCGGUGGCAAGUCCUAGUGAGGCAGGGCGGGGACUGGGGUGAAUUUUGCACAUGCUGGUUGGAUCCCGUCGUUAUGCGUAAUUAUGAUAGUUCGUCAUGGUGUUUUACAUUACUUUUCAUCUUUAAGAAUGUUGCUUUAAAUUCAUAUUUUUCUGGAUUACUGGCAUUUGGGCAUCCUCUUAAAUUUUGCAUCUGAGUGAUGUGUCCCACUCGCCUGCCUUAGCCCCGUCUUGGAGCUAGGUCCUGGAGAUACAUGGUUGGAAAAACAAAAGCCCUGAUUUUCAAGGAGUUUUCAUGCUAAUGGGAAAGAAACUGACAGUUAACAAUUGUAGUUCAGGAAAGAGCAAUAUAAAACUAGAUUAUGGGGCAGGGAGUGGGCAGUAGGGGCAUAGAUUAAUGACUCUGGGUGGUCAGGAGGGUUUGGGAGGCUUUGGACCAAGAUCUGUUGGGUAGGCACUGCAAAGAUCGGCUUAAUAAGCAGAGGGUAGAGAUGGAAAGUGCGUGGCUUGUUCCAAGGAGAUAAGGAUGUCUAGAGCGCAUUGAGCAAGUGCUAGAGGAGAUUAGGUCAGAGAGAGAGGUGGCAGCCAGAUCCUGUAGGUUUACAUGUGGACUUCAGAGUUUCUUCCGAUUGCAGUGGUAGUUGUUGGAGGGAUUUCAGCAGGGGAGUGAGUUAUUUGUUGAAUGGAUGUUAAAACUAUAGUAGCUUUUUGUCUUCUAGGCAUUUUGUAAAUGUUAGUCUUUAAUUCUCACAAUAACCUUGGCACUAUUUAAUUUUUUGGAAGUGGAAGUUAAUUCUUUUUCUGUCUUUUUUUAAUGUUUAUUUUUCAGAAGGCACAAGUGGAGCAGGGGUAGAGAGAAGGGGAUAGAGAAUCAGAAGCGGACUCUUGGCUGACAACAGCUAGCCCGAUGAGUUUGAACUCAUGAACUGUGAGGUCAUGACCUGAGCCGAAGUCAGACCCUCAACCAGCUGAACCACUGAGGUGCCCCUGCAAUCCUGUUCUGCUGGAUAAGUCCUUGUACUUUACUCCUUUGCUGGGUAGGCCUGAUUUUAUAGUACAUUUUCACAUUACUUCCCCAUUUGACCUUUGAGAUCUUUACUCCUGUUUUGUUUUCAGAUGUGGACAAAUGUAUGAAAUUUGAGGGGAGAAAGGGUUUUCAUUAAAUUAAUUGAGCACCUGUACUAUAUUGGACCUUAACUACUGUUUAAAAGAUAUUCUCCAGCAGUUAUUGAUCUUUUCAGGAAAAGGCUAAGAUCUGUUAUUAGGAAAAUUAAAAUUACUGUAGCAAUAAAAAGCAAUAUACAUAGCUAAGCAUAUUUUAUUGUAUACUGGA